AUGAACGGCGCCGGCGCCGGCUGCGCGCAGCACGUCGGCAACUCGUCCACGGCUCCAUGCGACGGCGGCAAGGGUGCUUCUGCUGUUGCUGCUUGUGCUCCGUCGUUCGCCGCGCCGAGACUGCUGCACUCGUCGUCCCUCCCCGCCGGCGGCCGCGCCGCGGUCGUCACCGGGAGUCCCGUGCGGGACGCCGAGACGAUGUUCGCCUACGCCAUCAGCCCGACCUCCGUGCUGGACGCGUCGGCGGCCUUCGGCUCGCCAGGCCCGGCCGUGGACGCCGGAGGGGGCAAGCGCCGGCCGUGGUGCGACGGGUGCGCGGGGCCACACGGGCUCGCUGACGUGCUGGACUGCGCCCACGAGGCCCAGCGGAGGAAGAGCGUCCUCCGGGGCGCCGUGAGGGCGCAGGCGCCGGCCCUGGUGCGGUCGUCCUCCCUGGACCGGCGCGUGGAGUUCGGCGUCAAGAACAAGAGCUCGUGGCUGCCGCUGCGCGCCUCCCGCGCGGCAGCGGAGGACAACGACGACGGGCCGUCGUCGGAGGACUACACCUGCGUCAUCUCCCGCGGGCCCAACCCCAGGACGGUGCACAUCUUCGGCGACCGCGUCGUGGACUCAUCCGCUUGCAGGUGA
rnacentral:rRNA from 1 species